AAAGAAGAGGUAUUUUCUAAAUUCUGCCAAUAUAUUUUUUCUAGGAUGCUAAGAAUUUACAGCUUGUCUUCAAUCAGAAUGAAGUCAUUGUCCCAGCCAUAUUAGUACCUUAAGAGUCGCUUAAGGCAAGAAGACCCAGAGCAAGCAAGACUGAAACAAAAAGCAAAGGAGGUAAGCAGAGCUGGAGAUCAUUACAUUUGACAUUUCAAGGCUUGAACCUAUUAAUUUUUUAUGCCUCGCUACUUGUAUAUCAUUAAUAAAAAUCUGACUAAAAA
rnacentral:lncRNA from 1 species